rnacentral:rRNA from 1 species
UACGUAGGGGGCAAGCGUUGUCCGGAAUUAUUGGGCGUAAAGCGCGCGCAGGCGGCUUUGUAAGUUUGGUGUUUAAUCUCAGAGCUCAACUCUGAUUCGCAUCGAAAACUGCAAGGCUUGAGUACAGAAGAGGAAAGUGGAAUUCCACGUGUAGCGGUGAAAUGCGUAGAUAUCUGGAGGAACACCGGUGGCGAAGGCGGCAUCCUGGACCGGUAUUGACGCUGAUGCGCGAAAGCCAGGGGAGCAAACGGG